rnacentral:rRNA from 1 species
UAUUAUUUUUAGAUAUAUUUGUUCCUAGGUUAGUAAUAGAUAUUUACUUAAAAGCUAAAAAAUUUGGCGGCAGUUUAAUCUUUCCAGAGGAACUUGUUUUUUAAUCGAUAAUCCCCGAAAAAUCUUACUUAUUUUAGUAAAGUUUGUAUACCAUCAUUAUCAGGUAAUUUUAAAAAAAAUAAUUUCUAAACUUAAAAGUAUAUAAAAAUUAGAUCAUGGUGCAGCUAAUAAAUAAGUUAAAAUGAGUUACAAUAAAAUUUUUUAUAGCGGCUAGUUAAAGAAUAAAAACUAUAAAGGAGGAUUUGGUAGUAUUAAAAAUUUAAUAUGUUUUUAAAAUGAUAGCUCUAAAUUGUGUACAUAU